AAUUCCAGGUAUAAGGAGGGCCUAGCACUCUGUAGUGAGUCUGUGGCAUGGGAUGGCUCUAGAGCGGGCAAGUCCAAAAGCAACUCUUAUGUGUUCUUUUCUUCUAGAAAUCUUCAGGGUAGACCAAAAUGUGUACUGAAAUGUCAGUCUGCUGUGUCCUUCUGUUUACUCUUGCAACUUUUGACUCAGUUUCCCUUUCUUUCCUAGUACUCUCAGGUGACUACGGAAGCAUUAGCACCCUGCAUGCUCAGGUGGCCCCCACUCCUACGGACACAGCUCUUUCACCUAUACGGUUUUCUUCUGUAUUUCCUGAUAUAAGUCUCCCCCUGACCCCACUGGAAUGCAUGGAUUUGCAUUUGUUCUUCCAGGAGUGUCUAACUGGAUGUCCUCUGCAAAUUCAUCAAAUGUGCCAUCUUUUCCAUCAUGUGGUCAUCCCUGGGAUCAUCAUCGAACAUCGUUCUCCACCACUCUGGUCCAUGGAUGGUUGUUCUCUUUUGUCCAUUCCAUCAAAUGUCCUGAACACUGUCAGAAGAGGGAAAAGGCUAAUGGAGCUGUUAAGUCUAAGUAUGACUGCCAAGAUGAAUCCAAAAAAGCCAAAGAGCCUGAGCAUGUCAGACCUUCCUGCAGCCUGCCACACACACUUAAAACCCCAGGGAAAUGAGUGCGGCUCAGGAGGGGGGAAGAGCGCCAACCAGAACCAGUGUCCAUCCCUUACACUUCUACAGAAUCCUGGCUUGAGAUCUCCUCUGUUAUCGCAAAGACUUAAAAAAGGAUUAAAGGUGAGUGAUGGGUUCCUCUGGGUUGCUUCGGCAAAUUUAUGUGCUCACAUAGAAUGUUAAUUGUUUCAGUUUAACUUCAUGGCUCAAGACAAGUAACUGCAUAUUUGUAUCUGACACUUGUAUUUGUCAAAUCCUAAAGUCAACGUGAACCCUAAACAAACCAACUUCUUGGCAUAUCCUCCAAAUAACACACACAGCAAAUAUAUUCACUCUGAUUGUACUCUAAAAAUGUCAGCUCAUCUGUUCUUUUACUCAUGGAGUUAGUGGAAGAUACUUAACCCUGAGCUUGAAAUGAAUGUUAAAUUCCUGUCUUACCAUUUGUUAGGUCUCUUCCUAGUGAUCCUGUGAGUCAAAGAAUUUGCCAUCUGAAAAGCCUAUUUGUUUGUCUGUUCUAUGUAACACGGGUAGGUCAGUAUGCAGACCCACCAUGACUAUACUGAUUAAGAGUAACAUGCUGUAAAUGGGCUUAUCAUGUUAGGAAUACGGAAGUUAUCUUCUCUAUUUCCUGAAACUUCUAAAGAUUCUAGUGCAAGAUUCAUCUCAGUCUUGCAGGAGUUUGAAUAAGGGAAAUAAAGACCAGAGAAUCCAGUACUGCAUUCUGCCAUUUUGUCUUACUUAAUUGUGUAUUUUGUUAUUUGGGGAGCCCAUCUUGAACUUCUUCAGAGAAUCGAAGAGCCCUUAGGUAAUAAAACUUACCUAAAAAUCUUGUUAAAGCAUAGCUUACUGGGCCCCACUCUCAGAGUUUCUGAUUCAGAAGAUUUGAGUUGGGGUCCACGGACUUGUGUUUCUAAUUAGUUCUCUGGUGAUGCCCAUGCUCCUAGUCAGAGGACACCACCUUGGAGCCAUUGGUGUCGAAAAUUUUUUUGAUUUAUUUAUUUUAGAGAGAAAGAGCAAGAGAGUGUGCAAUGUGGGAGAAACAGAGGGAGAGGGAGAGAGAAAUUCAACCAGACUGUGCUGAGCUGGAGCCUAUUUGGGGCUCUAUCUCACCACUCCAAGAUCAUGACCUGAGUGGAAAUCAAGAGUCAGAUGCUUAACUGACUGUGCUGUCCAGGUACCCAGAGAACAUUUUAUUUUAUUUUUUUAAAGAUUCUACUUUAAAGUUAUCUCUACGACCCAUCGUGGGGCUCACUCUCAACCCUGAGAUCAAGAAUUGGAUAUUCUACAGACUGAACCAGCCCAGUACCCUGAAAACAUUUUAAAUGGAUCCAUCUCCUUAAGGAAUUAAGGUCUCCUCCAGGUGCUUGACGGUGGGAACCAUAACCUAUGACACAGAGAACCUGUGCUUCUUGGAAUGUUGGCCCUCUAAGCCGGAACACUGAUUCAGUAUAAAACAAACAAAAUAAAUCCUGGCAACAAUUAGGUUCGUAACAUGAGAGUGGCACUAGGGUUAGAAUGAUUAAAUUUGUCAUAUGUGGACCAAAGUAGAACAAGGGACUGUGUAGGUAAAUGAAGUCCCUCAUUAGCCUUUUAAAAAUGUGUUUUGAAAUUUCUGUGUGUCUAUGUAUGAAUCUUUUAUGAGAUGUAUGUGGAAGCUCCAUUUGGGCACAGGUUUAUUCAGAAUCUUCCCAGAAGAGUGAUUCAGAUUUUAAAAUGUCCACAAUGAUUAUUUUUCUGAAUAAAGGAGGCAUUUUAUGGCAUUUCCUAGUAACCAGGAAACAGAUGCAAGAGCCUGAGUUAAAGUUAAUACCUCAUUAGCUGCGUUAAUAAUUUGACACCUGUAUUUGUGAUUAACAAUCUUAAAGCAAUACAUAGUGUACCUAGUGCUGUGUACCCUAAUUCAGGGAACAUUAAUUCAUUUGAGUGCUGGAUAUUUUUUGAUGUAUUUAUUAAAUAUUAAAUGUCUGACAUUAAAUUAUUCAAGUUUUAUUUGGUUAGGACUCCUACUAUUGUUUUUUUUUUUUUUUCAAUGUGUACAUAUCAUUGUGUAGCUUUUGAAAUGGAAUAGGUUUUUAAAAUCUGGUGUGAAAAUCCAUCUUUCAAUAAGCAAGUUUUAUACUUUAUUGUGAGUACUGCUACAUCUCUUUUUGGUAAUUCAAUCUAUUAUCUACUCUUCUUUGUAUUUAAAUAUCUCUUAUAAAUUAGCCCCUAUUAGUAAUAUUCUUCUUUUUUUUAAGAUGUUAUUUUUUUAAGUAGCGUCUAUACCCAGUGCAGGGCUUGAACUCACCACCCUGAGAUCAAGAGUCAUGUGUUUCACGGACAGAGCCAGUGGGCACCCCAGUAUUAUCCUUGUUCAUACUUAAUGCUUAUUUAGAUUUAUCCUUAAUUUUACUGUUGUCUUUAUUUUUUAAACUGCCAGAUCCUGAGAGGUCUGAGAUUCUGCUCUUCCUACCAGCUAACAACAUAACGUAUACUUUUGCCUGUGUCUCCUGGAUCCAAGACACAUAACUUUAUGACUCACGGCAGUAGCAUAGUAGCUCUAGUCUUUCAGUAUUUUUCUGAUGGUUCCUACAGAGGCAACUCUCCGAUUCCUUGUUAUGCUUUAGGUGUGGGCUAUAGAUUUUUUUUUUUAUGGAUGGUUUUAUUUGUCCUCCUUACUGAACUAUGUGGUUAUUCCAUAGUAUGUGAAAAUGUUGACAUUUGAGCAGUUUCUAUUAUGUUAAGGGAACUGAAAGUAUUUUUUUCAUUUUUUAAGGAAAAUUUUUUCAGAGCUUUUGUACUUUAGAACUUUCAGCAUUUUUUCUGUACUUUUCAGAGCCAUCACCUUUAGAUUUUACCCUCCUUAUUAUUAAAUAAGGAGGUGGAGGGAUCCCUGGGUGGCGCAGCGGUUUAGCGCCUGCCUUGGGCCCAGGGCGCAAUCCUGGAGACCCGGGAUCGAAUCCCACGUCAGGCUCCCAGUGCAUGGAGCCUGCUUCUCCCUCUGCCUGUGUCUCUGCCUCUCUCUCUGUGUGUGACUAUCAUAAAUAAAUUAAAAUAAAUAAAUAAAUAAAUAAAUAAAUAAAUAAAUAAAUAAAUAAAAUAAAGAGGUGGAAAGUAUGGUGGAUAUUAUUUACAAAAAACUCUAAGCAAAAUUUUGGGAAAUGAUCUAAAAAAUUGCUGAGCAUGUCAUUUUACGUACACUACAAAUGCCUAAUGGAAACUUCUGCUUUGUACUUUAAUAUGUCAUAAUGGAGUUGAACAAACAGUAGAUUAACAUCUGAACAUCAAUUUUAAAUUGUAGUUGUAUCUCAUACUGAGUGAUUAUGGAUCCUUUGGUCUUAUUAUCCUCAUCUGUGAAAUGAUUUUCUUCUUACUUUUGCCAUCACUAAUGGUUAAACAUUUAAAAUGUUCCUAGGCAGAAUUAUGAUCCCCCAAAGAUGCCUCAUCCUAAUCCCAGAACCUGUGAGUAUGUGAACUCACAUGGCAAAAAGGCCUUUGCUGAUGAAACAAAGUUAUGAAUUAGAAGUAAGAGAGAAUCUCCUGGAUUAGUUAGAGGCUUGGCAUUGUAAUCACAUGGACCCUAUGAGUUCAAGAGGGAGUCAGGAGAUGUGAUAACAGUAGUUCAGAAUUAUAUAGCAUGAGGAAGACUUGUCUGUAUGUUGCUUGCUGGAUUUGUAAAUGGAAGAGACCAUGAGCCAAGGUGCAUAGGAAACCUCCAGAAACCUGAAAAUUUGGAACAAAAUAGUUUCUCCUCCAGAUCCUCCACAAGGAAUGAAAUCCUGCUAACAACUCUUUUGUGUGUGUAGUUGUAUUUUUAGUUGAAGUAUACCUGACAUAUCAUAUAGCCAAGUAAGACCUGUUUUGUGCCAUUGACCUCCAAAAGUAUAAUAAAUUUAUGUUCUAAACUAUUACAUUUAUUGUAAUUUGUUACAGCAGCAAUAGGAAACUAAUACGCUACUUUAAUAGAUUACUG
rnacentral:lncRNA from 1 species